rnacentral:lncRNA from 1 species
CAACGGAUUAUGCAUAGCGAAGAUGUAGGAUUAGCUCAUCAGGAUAGCAACGAUGACUGCAUUAUUAUGCAGAAGUGAUGGACCUUACGCGAGAUGGUGCCGACCGACCCCCACUGGGACGCCGCCGACUGAAUAACGGAGCCGCUGUGAGCACGAACAGGUGCUUAUGCACAUUGGAAGGUCUUAGUACAGUGCACAGGCUUGCGCGGGAGGGCUCCAUGCAGCGGGUUACACAGGCCAAGAGUGGACAUGACCGCCAACCGGGGUAACCCCACGAGCAUGCCAUGCCCGG